UGCAAGUCGAACGGCAGCGCGGGGGCAACCGUGGCGGCGAGUGGCGAACGGGUGAGUAAUAUAUCGGAACGUACCCAAGAGUGGGGGAUAACGUAGCGAAAGUUACGCUAAUACCGCAUACGAUCUAAGGAUGAAAGCAGGGGAUCGCAAGACCUUGUGCUCCUGGAGCGGCCGAUAUCUGAUUAGCUAGUUGGUGGGGUAAAGGCCCACCAAGGCAACGAUCAGUAGCUGGUCUGAGAGGACGACCAGCCACACUGGAACUGAGACACGGUCCAGACUCCUACGGGAGGCAGCAGUGGGGAAUUUUGGACAAUGGGGGCAACCCUGAUCCAGCAAUGCCGCGUGAGUGAAGAAGGCCUUCGGGUUGUAAAGCUCUUUUGUCAGGGAAGAAAAGGCUGUGGCUAAUAUCCACAGCUGCUGACGGUACCUGAAGAAUAAGCACCGGCUAACUACGUGCCAGCAGCCGCGGUAAUACGUAGGGUGCAAGCGUUAAUCGGAAUUACUGGGCGUAAAGCGUGCGCAGGCGGUUUCGUAAGUCUGUCGUGAAAUCCCCGGGCUUAACCUGGGAAUGGCGAUGGAGACUGCGAAGCUAGAGUUUGGCAGAGGGGGGUAGAAUUCCACGUGUAGCAGUGAAAUGCGUAGAGAUGUGGAGGAACACCGAUGGCGAAGGCAGCCCCCUGGGUCAAAACUGACGCUCAUGCACGAAAGCGUGGGGAGCAAACAGGAUUAGAUACCCUGGUAGUCCACGCCCUAAACGAUGUCUACUAGUUGUUGGGUCUUAAUUGACUUAGUAACGCAGCUAACGCGUGAAGUAGACCGCCUGGGGAGUACGGUCGCAAGAUUAAAACUCAAAGGAAUUGACGGGGACCCGCACAAGCGGUGGAUGAUNUGGAUUAAUUCGAUGCAACGCGAAAAACCUUACCUACCCUUGACAUGGCAGGNAUCCCGGAGAGAUUUGGGAGUGCUCGAAAGAGAACCUGCACACAGGUGCUGCAUGGCUGUCGUCAGCUCGUGUCGUGAGAUGUUGGGUUAAGUCCCGCAACGAGCGCAACCCUUGUCAUUAGUUGCUACGCAAGAGCACUCUAAUGAGACUGCCGGUGACAAACCGGAGGAAGGUGGGGAUGACGUCAAGUCCUCAUGGCCCUUAUGGGUAGGGCUUCACACGUCAUACAAUGGUACAUACAGAGGGCCGCCAACCC
rnacentral:rRNA from 1 species